ACAAGGAGAGCUCCUCGGAGCUCCAGCACAGCUGUGCAGUGUGAGUUAAUACAUGCCCAAAUCAGCCAAAUAUCUGCCUUAACUUGACCUCUGCUCACAGAUGGAAACUAAUUAUUUCAUACUUAUGCUGAAUAAUUGAAUAGACAUCCAAGUAUUCAAGUAGUUCAGACACAGCUUGAUAAAAAAAGUAACUUUGAUCUAUUCAAACACAACCUGAAGUAGCGGCGUUCGAGAGAGAGUCACCUUUUUACAUCUUUGGAAUUCUUCCUACCUGGGUCUGACUUGGAGUAGGUCAAGCUCUAAUCUCAGUUUAGUAAUUCCAGUUCUAAAGGUAGUUAGUGUUUCCCUGUUUAAUGACUUCAUUCUGUUAUGGGUGCUUCUGGAAUUGCCUCUGUCGUGUCCCCGAGGUGAGCGACACACGGGGAGGCAGGUCUGCUCUGGAGAGGCUUCAGGAGGAAUUACUGGAGGGAAAUCUUGAUUCUGCUGGCUAUGGACGUGACCUUCCUCCCCUGCAAGCAGCGUGGACAAGGAAAAAGCAAAAGAGCCCGAUGCCGAUGGUUUCGGUCUUGGCAGGAGGAGGUGGGUUUGGGAGACGCCGUUGAGAGGAGGUGUGAGAUGGAGCUGUUGGAAAUGGAGCUGUUGGAAAUGGAGCUGUUGGAAAUGGAGCUGUUGGAAAUGGAGCUGUUGGAAUCGGGGCUGUUUCUCUCUCUGGUGGGGAGCGGGUCCCCUGGCUCUGACAGAGGUGCCUCUUCUCGCUGCCCGGGGCCGUGGCCGGCAGCCAGAUGGGCCAGCAAACCUCGGAUUGUUUUACUUCUGCUCAGGAAGUCUGAGAUUAAAGCCUUAUCACAUCUAUUUGGUAACUCAGGGGGAUAUUUACUAGCAUUUUCUUCAGCAUUUACCGUGCUGAGGGCUAAGAACCGAGCUGUCGUGUUCCACUCUGGAAAUAGCCGGCUGGGCAUUCGAAGAGUCAUUCUGAGACAAUUUAAAACUCUUUGCAGUGGUCAAUGUAUGAAGGUUUGAAUUAAAUCCUUAUUUCCUUGAA